rnacentral:rRNA from 1 species
GCGCACCAGUCGCGAAACCUUCGCAAUGCGGGAAACCGCGACGAGGGGACUCCCAGUGCCUACGCUCAGCGUUAGGCUAGUUCCCGAGCCUAGAAAGGCUCGGGGAGUAAGGGCUGGGUAAGACGGGUGCCAGCCGCCGCGGUAAUACCCGCAGCCUGAGUGGUGGCCACUAUUAUUGGGCCUAAAGCGUCCGUAGCCGGCCCGGUAAAUGCCUGGGUAAAUCGUGAGGCCUAACCUCGCGAAUUCCGGGUAGACUGCCGGGCUAGGGGACCGGAGGAGGGAGAGGGUACUCCAGGGGUAGGGGUGAAAUCCUGUAAUCCCUGGAGGACCACCGGUGGCGAAGGCGCGUCUCCUAGGACGGGUCCGACGGUGAGGGACGAAAGCCAGGGGAGCGAACCGGAUUAGAU